UUAUAGCUCAGGUAUACCCUACGGUAUUCUAACAAGGAUACCAUGUCACAACACAUGCGACAUAAUAUCAACAAAAAGGGUUUCUAAUAUGUACAUGUUAAACUGAAAUGAAUCAUCAACUCAAAGUCUCCAAAAUUAUUAACAUGUACUUUCUACGAGAUUCAAAAUAAAUACAAAAGAUGAUACACUAGAUCAAGAGUACAAAC
rnacentral:lncRNA from 1 species